rnacentral:rRNA from 1 species
GGCUACACAUGCAAGUCGAGCGGCAGCGGGAAAGUAGCUUGCUACUUUUGCCGGCGAGCGGCGGACGGGUGAGUAAUGCCUGGGGAUCUGCCCAGUCGAGGGGGAUAACAGUUGGAAACGACUGCUAAUACCGCAUACGCCCUACGGGGGAAAGGAGGGGACCUUCGGGCCUUUCGCGAUUGGAUGAACCCAGGUGGGAUUAGCUAGUUGGUGGGGUAAUGGCUCACCAAGGCGACGAUCCCUAGCUGGUCUGACAGGAUGAUCAGCCGCACUGGAACUGAGACCCGGUCCACACUCCUACGGGAGGCAGCAGUGGGGAAUAUUGCACAAUGGGGGAAACCCUGAUGCAGCCAUGCCGCGUGGGUGAAGAAGGCCUUCGGGUUGUAAAGCACUUUCUCCGAGGAGGAAAGGUUGGCGCCUAAUACGUGUCACCUGUGACGUUUCUCUCAGAAAAAGCACCGGUUAAC